GUGGGGAUAGCUCAGUGCUAGAGCACGUGUUUAGCAUACACAAAGUCCUGGGUUCAAUCCCCAGUACCUCCA
rfam:Camelus ferus unplaced genomic scaffold scaffold164, whole genome shotgun sequence.